UACAGAGGUCUCAAGCGUUGUUCGGAUUCAUUGGGCGUAAAGGGUGCGUAGGCGGCGCGGUAAGUCGGGUGUGAAAUCUCGGAGCUUAACUUCGAAACUGCAUUCGAAACUGCCGUGCUUGAGGACUGGAGAGGAGACUGGAAUUUACGGUGUAGCGGUGAAAUGCGUAGAUAUCGUAAGGAAGACCAGUGGCGAAGGCGGGUCUCUGGACAGUUCCUGACGCUGAGGCACGAAGGUCAGGGGAGCAAACGGG
rnacentral:rRNA from 1 species